GAAAGAUGACCUGAAAUAGGGAGAUCAACUUUCUUCUUCCUUUAGCUGAUGAUUGACACUUGUCCUACUCUCAACCAUUCGAAUUACACAAGACUGACUUUUAUAAAUGGAUUAUGGAAGACUGAUUUUUAUAAUGCAUAUGCCCAUGGUUUUCGGCAUAUAAAACUCGAAGGCUCCUAUUGGUUGAUUUCUUAGUACAAAUCGAAUCUCAUUGGUUGGUUUGGUCCCCUCCAAAAUCCUUGAUGCGAGUCAGCCAAUCCAAGAACCUAAGCGCAAGAAACGAGCACCAGUCUUUAUGAGAUUCGUAGGGGAGGAAUUUGGAUCUUUCU
rnacentral:lncRNA from 1 species